rnacentral:rRNA from 1 species
AACGAACGCUGGCGGCGUGCCUAACACAUGCAAGUCGAACGAGAAAGGGGCUUCGGCUCCGAGUAAAGUGGCGCACGGGUGAGUAACACGUGGGUAACCUGCCUCUAAGAUUGGGAUAACUCGUCGAAAGAUGAGCUAAUACCGAAUAAGACCACAGUUCCCGCGGGAACAGGGGUCAAAGGUAGCCUCUGCUUGCAAGCUAUCACUUAGAGAUGGGCCUGCGCACCAUUAGCUAGUUGGUAGGGUAACGGCCUACCAAGGCAAAGAUGGUUAGCUGGUCUGGUAGGAUGAUCAGCCACACUGGAACUGAGACACGGUCCAGACUCCUACGGGAGGCAGCAGUGGGGAAUAUUGCGCAAUGGGCGAAAGCUUGACGCAGCAACGCCGCGUGAGUGAUGAAGGCCUUCGGGUCGUAAAGCUCUGUCGGGAGGAACGAAUGCUCCUGAGGUUAACAGCCUCGGGAGGUGACGGUACCUUCAAAGGAAGCACCGGCUAACUCUGUG